UGAAUGUUUGAUUCUAGUCUAAUUUUGACACACUCAAAACAUAUACAUUGCAAUACAUAAAAUUCCCGAGAGUCAGGCAAUUUAUCUUUAUUUAAUAUAUAAAAUAAUGCCCCCUAGUAUAAGUACUUACAAACACUAUGAACACCACCUCGCCUGCAGUAAUGAAAUCUGGACCACUUAUAAAAGUAAAUUCCGGAAAAGAGUACUAUAAAGCUGGCCAAACUCGUGCCAGCAGUCGCGGCUAAACGUAAGGCUUAAGUCAAAACACACUGGUAUAAUGCUAAAGGAACACUCAGAAGACAAUAAUAUAUCAAUUGAGUAAAAUCAAAAAUAUAUAAUAAUUUUCCUCCCCCCCAUCAUGAAAGACGGGAGUCAAACGAGGGCCAUCCUCUUAUGCCCGUCUAUAAAUUUACCAAGGAACUACGAACAACUGUUUCAAACCUAAAGAAUCUGGCGGUACCUAUUAACUUCUCAGGGGAACCUGUUCUUUAAACCGAUAAUCCACGUCUCACCUCACCUCUCUUUGCCCUAGCCUAUGUAUUGCCGUCGAGCCCUUUUAUUAAAUUAAGGACACCCAGCUAUUAAGCCCGAAGUCAGGUCGAAAUAUAGCCUAUAGAAAGGAAGAAAUGGGUUACAAUAAAUAAAUUAAUGAAAUUACACUGAAAAAUAAAUGAAACUGGACUUGAAAGUAAUUACCUAAAUCUCACGUAAUGAAUCUACUUAGGUAUGUACAAAUCGCCCGUCACUCUCGCCCAAAGGGGAGAUAAGUCGUAACAUAGUCGGCAUAAUGGAAAUUGUGCCCUGGGAACA
rnacentral:ncRNA from 1 species